rnacentral:rRNA from 1 species
UAAGGAGCUUGCUCCUUUGACGUUAGCGGCGGACGGGUGAGUAACACGUGGAUAACCUACCUAUAAGACUGGGAUAACUUCGGGAAACCGGAGCUAAUACCGGAUAACAUAUUGAACCGCAUGGUUCAAUAGUGAAAGGCGGCUUUGCUGUCACUUAUAGAUGGAUCCGCGCCGUAUUAGCUAGUUGGUAAGGUAACGGCUUACCAAGGCAACGAUACGUAGCCGACCUGAGAGGGUGAUCGGCCACACUGGAACUGAGACACGGUCCAGACUCCUACGGGAGGCAGCAGUAGGGAAUCUUCCGCAAUGGGCGAAAGCCUGACGGAGCAACGCCGCGUGAGUGAUGAAGGUCUUCGGAUCGUAAAACUCUGUUAUCAGGGAAGAACAAAUGUGUAAGUAACUGUGCACAUCUUGACGGUACCUGAUCAGAAAGCCACGG